AUUAGAGUUUGAUCCCGGCUCAGAUUGAACGCUGGCGGCAGGCCUAACACAUGCAAGUCGAGCGGUAGAGAGAAGCUUGCUUCUCUUGAGAGCGGCGGACGGGUGAGUAAUGCCUAGGAAUCUGCCUGGUAGUGGGGGAUAACGUUCGGAAACGGACGCUAAUACCGCAUACGUCCUACGGGAGAAAGCAGGGGACCUUCGGGCCUUGCGCUAUCAGAUGAGCCUAGGUCGGAUUAGCUAGUUGGUGAGGUAAUGGCUCACCAAGGCGACGAUCCGUAACUGGUCUGAGAGGAUGAUCAGUCACACUGGAACUGAGACACGGUCCAGACUCCUACGGGAGGCAGCAGUGGGGAAUAUUGGACAAUGGGCGAAAGCCUGAUCCAGCCAUGCCGCGUGUGUGAAGAAGGUCUUCGGAUUGUAAAGCACUUUAAGUUGGGAGGAAGGGUUGUAGAUUAAUACUCUGCAAUUUUGACGUUACCGACAGAAUAAGCACCGGCUAACUCUGUGCCAGCAGCCGCGGUAAUACAGAGGGUGCAAGCGUUAAUCGGAAUUACUGGGCGUAAAGCGCGCGUAGGUGGUUUGUUAAGUUGGAUGUGAAAUCCCCGGGCUCAACCUGGGAACUGCAUUCAAAACUGACUGACUAGAGUAUGGUAGAGGGUGGUGGAAUUUCCUGUGUAGCGGUGAAAUGCGUAGAUAUAGGAAGGAACACCAGUGGCGAAGGCGACCACCUGGACUAAUACUGACACUGAGGUGCGAAAGCGUGGGGAGCAAACAGGAUUAGAUACCCUGGUAGUCCACGCCGUAAACGAUGUCAACUAGCCGUUGGAAGCCUUGAGCUUUUAGUGGCGCAGCUAACGCAUUAAGUUGACCGCCUGGGGAGUACGGCCGCAAGGUUAAAACUCAAAUGAAUUGACGGGGGCCCGCACAAGCGGUGGAGCAUGUGGUUUAAUUCGAAGCAACGCGAAAAACCUUACCAGGCCUUGACAUCCAAUGAACUUUCUAGAGAUAGAUUGGUGCCUUCGGGAACAUUGAGACAGGUGCUGCAUGGCUGUCGUCAGCUCGUGUCGUGAGAUGUUGGGUUAAGUCCCGUAACGAGCGCAACCCUUGUCCUUAGUUACCAGCACGUUAUGGUGGGCACUCUAAGGAGACUGCCGGUGACAAACCGGAGGAAGGUGGGUAUGACGUCAAGUCAUCAUGGCCCUUACGGCCUGGGCUACACACGUGCUACAAUGGUCGGUACAGAGGGUUGCCAAGCCGCGAGGUGGAGCUAAUCCCAUAAAACCGAUCGUAGUCCGGAUCGCAGUCUGCAACUCGACUGCGUGAAGUCGGAAUCGCUAGUAAUCGCGAAUCAGAAUGUCGCGGUGAAUACGUUCCCGGGCCUUGUACACACCGCCCGUCACACCAUGGGAGUGGGUUGCACCAGAAGUAGCUAGUCUAACCUUCGGGAGGACGGUUACCACGGUGUGAUUCAUGACUGGGGUGAAGUCGUAACAAGGUACCCAAU
rnacentral:rRNA from 1 species